AUACGGAGGAUCCGAGCGUUAUCCGGAUUUAUUGGGUUUAAAGGGAGCGUAGAUGGAUGUUUAAGUCAGUUGUGAAAGUUUGCGGCUCAACCGUAAAAUUGCAGUUGAUACUGGAUAUCUUGAGUGCAGUUGAGGCAGGCGGAAUUCGUGGUGUAGCGGUGAAAUGCUUAGAUAUCACGAAGAACUCCGAUUGCGAAGGCAGCCUGCUAAGCUGCAACUGACAUUGAGGCUCGAAAGUGUGGGUAUCAAACAGGAUUAGAUACCCUGGUAGUCCACACGGUAAACGAUGAAUACUCGCUGUUUGCGAUAUACGGCAAGCGGCCAAGCGAAAGCGUUAAGUAUUCCACCUGGGGAGUACGCCGGCAACGGUGAAACUCAAAGGAAUUGACGGGGGCCCGCACAAGCGGAGGGACAUGUGGUUUAAUUCGAUGAUACGCGAGGAACCUUACCCGGGCUUAAAUUGCAGAUGAAUUACGGUGAAAGCCGUAAGCCGCAAGGCAUCUGUGAAGGUGCUGCAUGGUUGUCGUCAGCUCGUGCCGUGAGGUGUCGGCUUAAGUGCCAUAACGAGCGCAACCCUUGUUGUCAGUUACUAACAGGUUCCGCUGAGGACUCUGACAAGACUGCCAUCGUAAGAUGUGAGGAAGGUGGGGAUGACGUCAAAUCAGCACGGCCCUUACGUCCGGGGCUACACACGUGUUACAAUGGGGGGUACAGAGGGCCGCUACCACGCGAGUGGAUGCCAAUCCCCAAAACCUCUCUCAGUUCGGACUGGAGUCUGCAACCCGACUCCACGAAGCUGGAUUCGCUAGUAAUCGCGCAUCAGCCACGGCGCGGUGAAUACGUUCCCGGGCCUUGUACACACCGCCCGUCAAGCCAUGGGAGCCGGGGGUACCUGAAGUGCGUAACCGCGAGGAGCGCCCUAGGGUAAAACUGGUGACUGGGGCU
rnacentral:rRNA from 1 species